CAGCCUGCAUUUUCGAAUACUUCUGUCACGUUUUGUGUAACUUGCAGAACAUGAAGGGAGUGAUGGUGGUUAUAGAGUUACCAAAAUACAUUAAAAACAAUCACGCGUAUGGUGUGAGCAGACAUGCAGAAAUGAUGUAACCUUCAUUGAGUAUUAUAAAAGGAAUGGAAUAAUAGGCUUCUCCAAAAGAUGUAACGUAUAUUAAAGGAAUGGAAUGAUCGUUUUCUUGUUAGGAGAUUUGUGAGUACACAGAAAUCUCAAAUUUAUAUGUCGCCGUUUGAGUUGCUGUUUUAUACUAUUCGAACUAACAAAAAUCGUACAAAACAGCAACUCAAACGGCGUGGAACUAACAAAAAGUGGAUAAUUUUAAGCGUAAUAUGUGGAUAAUUUUGCCCUUUGUUGCAAGUUGCAUUCAGAAAACCUUUUGUUGCAAGUUUAACUGUAUUCAUCGAUUGCAUGGUUCCUGCUCGAGGACAUUGUAAUAGACGGGCGGAUGUAGAACAUUCUCACAAAAAGAACAAACUGAAACCUAAAGAGUGAUCCAGAGUAGGAGAGGGGUCGUUUGCAGACGAACUUUCAAGUGAACAAUCUCUUUUAAUUUUUAUUUUAUUAUUUUCAAUUUGUAUGUUUCAACUUAAAAAUAUGGUUAAAAAUACUGGAGAUUAGACCCUAGGGCUGCUUUUAUUUGUCCAGAAUUCUAAUGUAGUGAGAAAGCUUCACGGAGGCAUUAGGAAGUUUAUUUGGUUGCAAUGGAAGCACUACAGGAGGUAUCUGCUAUGGAGAUGAUUGUUAGCAUCUAAGGAUUAAAGAUACAUUGACAACAGUUACUGGAACUAUUGUACUAUUUCAUCACACUGUUCUCGGGAGUUUGGAGAGGACAUUUAUGUUGUUGCAUGCACAGUAGAAAGGUUUCAGACAGAAGGGUAUGCAUAUGUAGCUCAGUUUGAUGAUGGUCCUUUGAGUGUAGAAUUGAUAUCAAAAGAUAUUGUAAGGCCUUUCCUUUUCUUCAUGUCUCGGCCCCUAAAACUGUGUCAUCUGGUACAAGGAAGAGAUGAUGAUUAGUGAAUGGUCAAAUGCUUCAGAAUACUUUUACAAAGCUGGUGGUACAGUACAAUGGGAUUAACUACGAACAUUUUAAACAAGCAAAACAACUCAAUAUGAGCUCAACUCUUUGGUUACUGCUAGCACAAAAGAACUUCAUAAAUCACAGUUGAGUUCACUACUUCUGUCAGUUAGUUAUAAAUAUCUUGAUGUAAGUGCAUCGAUUCUUCAGAAUGUUUUCAGCCUUAAAAUGGGCCACACAUGAUGUGAACUAAUAUUGUGAUUCAGAGUUAUUGCUCUAAGUGAACUGGAUUUAGCAACAGGAAAUAAAAAUUCAUAUAACACCAAUCAAUUUUUAGCCUUAAAUAAGGGUAAACCCUUUCUUCACAGUUGUAUAUUUUUUUUCCCCUAUGAUUGAUAUUUUUAUUUAGGUACCUCGUCAUCAAAUUGUAUUGGAUCGCAAUGUAUAAAAGUAGACAUGUUUGAUCUCGAAAUUGACCUAUGUUAAUAUGAUAUACCAACUUCAAUCCAUUAACCUGAGAAUUAAAAUUUUCACUUACGAAUGUUGCAAUUGCUAUUCGCUGUUGGACAGACGGAAGUGUGUCCUUUGUAGCAAUAUAGGGUAACAUCCAUUGUGUGUAUGAAGCGCUACCAAUCAGUGUGUCCACGGCUCAGUCUAUUUACCCAUUUGUUUUAAACAUGUGAUCCAGAGUAGGAGAGGGGUGGUUUGCAGACGAACUUUCGAGUGAACAAUCUCUUUUGAUUUUUAUCUUAUUAUUUUCAAUUUGUAUGCUUCAGCUUGAAAAUAUGGUUAAAAAUACUGGAGAUUAUACUCUAGGGCUGCUUUUAUUUGUUCAGAAUUCUAAUGGAGUAAAUAGUGCAGAAAGCUUCACAGAGGCAUUAAGAAGCUUAUUUGGUUGCAAUGGAAGUACCACCAAGAGGUAUCUGCUGUGGAGAUGAUUGUUAUCAUCUAAGAUGUGUAUCAACUAAAAUAUGUACCUGACUUUGAAUUUUUUAUAUUGCUUGCUUUAUGACUCUUUUAUGGGCCUCAAGUCAUACCCCAUUGCAGUCGAAACCUAUAUAAUUACCAAGGAAAUACUGCUAGCCUAAGGUUUUGUUACUGAAAGGCAACCAGUAUUAGAGGUAAUAUAUUGCCUAAAUGAUUGAUACCAUUCCUGUUCCUCUUGUUUGUAGCCCUGAUUUAUUUUUGCCUAUGGUCGUCGGCCCAAUUUUUCAGAUUUUCAUAAUAUGUCUAAAGGAGGCGGAUGGAAUCAAUGCAUUCAGAAAAUUAUGCAUUCAGUUAGCUAUACUUAAGGGUAGAGCAUGUACGGCUGGACGGAUUUUUUUGUAGUUCCGCCGAAUA